rnacentral:rRNA from 1 species
UACGGAGGGGGCUAGCGUUGUUCGGAAUUACUGGGCGUAAAGCGCACGUAGGCGGCUUUGUAAGUUAGAGGUGAAAGCCCGGGCUCAACUCCGGAAUUGCCUUUAAGACUGCAUCGCUAGAAUUGUGGAGAGGUAAGUGGAAUUCCGAGUGUAGAGGUGAAAUUCGUAGAUAUUCGGAAGAACACCAGUGGCGAAGGCGACUUACUGGACACAUAUUGACGCUGAGGUGCGAAAGCGUGGGG